AUACGGAGGAUGCGAGCGUUAUCCGGAUUUAUUGGGUUUAAAGGGUGCGUAGGCGGUUUUUUAAGUCAGCGGUGAAACGCAAGGGCUCAACCCUUGACCUGCCGUUGAAACUGGAGGACUUGAAUGUGGAUGCUGUGGGAGGAAUGUGUGGUGUAGCGGUGAAAUGCAUAGAUAUCACACAGAACACCGAUUGCGAAGGCAUCUCACAAAUCCGUGAUUGACGCUGAGGCACGAAAGUGUGGGGAUCAAACAGGAUUAGAUACCCUGGUAGUCCACACUGUAAACGAUGAUGACUCGCUGUCGGCGAUAUACAGUCGGUGGCCAAGCGAAAGCGAUAAGUCAUCCACCUGGGGAGUACGACCGCAAGGUUGAAACUCAAAGGAAUUGACGGGG
rnacentral:rRNA from 1 species